UACAGAGGUCCCAAGCGUUGUUCGGAUUCAUUGGGCGUAAAGGGUGCGUAGGCGGCGCGGUAAGUCGGGUGUGAAAUCUUGGAGCUUAACUCCGAAACUGCAUUCGAUACUGCCGUGCUUGAGGACUGGAGAGGAGACUGGAAUUUACGGUGUAGCGGUGAAAUGCGUAGAGAUCAUGAGGAAGACCAGUGGCGAAGGCGGGUCUCUGGACAGUUCCUGACACUGAGACACGAAGGCCAGGGGAGCAAACGGG
rnacentral:rRNA from 1 species